GCCUGGGUGGCUCAGCAGUUGAGCAUCUGCCUUUGACUCAGGGCAGGAUCCCGGAGUUCCUGGGAUCGAGUCCCGCCUCAGGCU
rnacentral:tRNA from 1 species